UUGCCUUAAACUAAUGAGUAAGGAAAACAAAGCGGGUGGUGAGAGCUGCCCGCCGCGCUAAUCUCUUUGCGCAAGUAUUUUUGGAGGGUUUAUAGGCUGGCCGAGCGAGGACGCUGCUUACUUCGCAGAACCCGCUCGUGCGGGCCUCCC